rnacentral:rRNA from 1 species
UACGGAAGGUGCAAGCGUUGUCCGGAUUGACUGGGUGUAAAGGGCGCGUAGGCGGAGAAGUGUGUCGGGAGUGAAAUCGUGCGGCUUAACCGUAUCAAUUGCUUUCGAAACUACUUCCCUUGAGUGCAAGAGGGGCAGACGGAAUUCCUGGUGUAGCGGUGGAAUGCGUAGAUAUCAGGAAGAACACCGGAGGCGAAGGCGGUCUGCUGGCUUGUAACUGACGCUGAGGCGCGAAAGUGUGGGGAGCAAACAGG